rnacentral:tRNA from 1 species
GAUGGAAAAUCAAUGCGUUGGCGACGCAGUUGAUUCAAAAUCAACCGUAGAAAUACGUGCCGGUUCGAGUCCGGCCUUCGGCACCA